GAGACGCUACUCCAAUGGUUGCCAAGGGCAACGCGGGACGCCGGCUGCCAAGGCCUUUUGUGCUCUCGGCUGGGCCCCACGGGCUAGAGCGUUGUUUUUUCAGGGACGGAGAAAUGUUACUCUGAACUGUUCAUGUUCCUGGCUCUCUGUGAAUAACAGCAUCCAUGUGAGCUAUUUUAGGGUGUGUGUAGAUGACCCAUUCAACAAUAUGGCCUCACAUGCCCUGUCUUCUCAGACACUUCGGCAUGCCAUCCUUAGGGCCACACCUUUAAUCCUGUUGUCACAGAAAAUGAAGAAUAAGAAGAAAAAAAAUAAAAUGAAAAGCAUCCAGUUGAGUCUCAAUCAAUUGAAAGAAUUGUGGAAAAUAAUGAAAUAGUUAUUUUAAGCUAAAAAGAAUGUUUUGUUGUAACAUA